rnacentral:rRNA from 1 species
GACGAACGCUGGCGGCGUGCUUAAUACAUGCAAGUCGAACGGAAAGGCCCUGCUUUUGUGGGGUGCUCGAUUGGCGAACGGGUGAGUAACACGUGAGUAACCUGCCCUUGACUUUGUGAUAACUUCAGGAAACUGGGGCUAAUACCGGAUAUGAGCUCCUGCUGCAUGGUGGGGGUUGGAAAGUUUCGGCGGUUGGGGAUGGACUCGCGGCGUAUCAGCUUGUUGGUGGGGUAGUGGCUUACCAAGGCUUUGACGGGUAGCCGGCCUGAGAGGGUGACCGGCCACAUUGGGACUGAGCUACGGCCCAGACUCCUACGGGCGGCAGCAGUGGGAAAUAUUGCACAAUGAGCGCACGCCUGAUGCAGCAACGCCGCGUGCGGGAUGAAGGGCUUCGAGUUGUAAACCGCUUUCGCCUGUGACGAAGCGUGCGUGACGGUAAUGGGUAAAGAAGCACCGGCUAACUACGUG